AUUGCAUCCUUAGAUCCCUCACUCCUGACCUAGGCUGAUCUAAAUGCUAAGCAGGGUUAUCCCUGGUUAAUACUUGGAGGGGAGACCAUCAGGGGAAAUCUCUGAAGAUGACAAUG
rnacentral:rRNA from 1 species